AACCAUUCUCACCUGCGGCUAGACCUGCGGAGGGAUCAUUACUGAGUGCGGGCCCGCUCCGGGCCCAACCUCCCACCCGUGUCUCUUGCGUACUUUGUUGCUUUGGCGGGCCCACCGGGUCACUCCGGUCGCCGGGGGGCGCUAUGCUCCCGGGCCCGUGCCCGCCAGAGCACCCCUGUGAACCCUGAUGAAGAGAGGCUGUCUGAGUCCCACGAUAAUCGUUAAAACUUUUAACAAUGG
rnacentral:misc_RNA from 1 species